UAUAUAUAUAUAUAUCUUCCCACCAUCUUCUCCAUUAAUUCCAAAUCUGAGAAGAGAAGCACAACGAAAAUAGUUCCAGCAAUUGCAAAUUAUCCUAUCCAAUUGAAGAUCGAAAGGGUAAAUUUGUGCACGUCGAUUGCUGUGAGAACGAAAAGUGAUUGAGGAGUUAAGCGUUUGAGAUAUGGUAGACAUCGAUGGGAAAUGACUGCAGUCACGAGUUUUACGAUGG